rnacentral:rRNA from 1 species
GACGAACGCUGGCGGCGUGCUUAACACAUGCAAGUCGAACGGAAAGGCCCUGCUUGCAGGGUACUCGAGUGGCGAACGGGUGAGUAACACGUGGGUGAUCUGCCCUGCACUUCGGGAUAAGCCUGGGAAACUGGGUCUAAUACCGGAUAGGAGCCAUUUUUAGUGUGAUGGUUGGAAAGUUUUUUCGGUGUAGGAUGAGCUCGCGGCCUAUCAGCUUGUUGGUGGGGUAAUGGCCUACCAAGGCGGCGACGGGUAGCCGGCCUGAGAGGGUGGACAGCCACAUUGGGACUGAGAUACGGCCCAGACUCCUACGGGAGGCAGCAGUGGGGAAUAUUGCACAAUGGGCGCAAGCCUGAUGCAGCGACGCCGCGUGGGGGAUGACGGCCUUCGGGUUGGAAACUCCUUUCGCUAGGGACGAAGCUUUUUGUGACGGUACCUAGAUAAGAAGCACCGGCUAACUACGUG